CGGCACUUUCAGAGAUGCUUUGGUGCCUUCGGGAACUCUGAGACAGGUGCUGCAUGGCUGUCGUCAGCUCGUGUUGUGAAAUGUUGGGUUAAGUCCCGCAACGAGCGCAACCCUUAUCCUUUGUUGCCAGCGGUCCGGCCGGGAACUCAAAGGAGACUGCCAGUGAUAAACUGGAGGAAGGUGGGGAUGACGUCAAGUCAUCAUGGCCCUUACGAGUAGGGCUACACACGUGCUACAAUGGCGCAUACAAAGAGAAGCGACCUCGCGAGAGCAAGCGGACCUCAUAAAGUGCGUCGUAGUCCGGAUUGGAGUCUGCAACUCGACUCCAUGAAGUCGGAAUCGCUAGUAAUCGUAGAUCAGAAUGCUACGGUGAAUACGUUCCCGGGCCUUGUACACACCGCCCGUCACACCAUGGGAGUGGGUUGCAAAAGAAGUAGGUAGCUUAACCUUCGGGAGGGCGCUUACCACUUUGUGAUUCAUGACUGGGGUGAAGUCGUAACAAGGGUUAGCCGUAAGGGACCAAACC
rnacentral:rRNA from 1 species